rnacentral:rRNA from 1 species
AACGAACGCUGGCGGCGUGCUUAACACAUGCAAGUCGAACGCGAAAGGGGCUUCGGUCCCGAGUAGAGUGGCGCACGGGUGAGUAACGCGUAAGUAAUCUACCCCCGCAUUCGGAAUAACUCGUCGAAAGGUGAGCUAAUACCGGAUACGUUUAUCUUGAUGCGAAUGAUGAUAAAGAAAGGUGGCCUCUUCAUGAAAGCUACUGUGCAGGGAUGAGCUUGCGUACCAUUAGCUAGUUGGUAGGGUAAUGGCCUACCAAGGCGACGAUGGUUAGCGGGUCUGAGAGGAUGAUCCGCCACACUGGAACUGGAACACGGACCAGACUCCUACGGGAGGCAGCAGUGAGGAAUAUUGCGCAAUGGGGGCAACCCUGACGCAGCGACGCCGCGUGGAUGAUGAAGGCCCUUGGGUCGUAAAAUCCUGUCAGAUGGAAAGAAAUGUAUGGGUGUUAAUAUCGCCUGUAUUUGACGGUACCAUCAAAGGAAGCACCGGCUAACUCCGUGCCAGCAGCCGCAGUAAAAC